rnacentral:rRNA from 1 species
GACGAACGCUGGCGGCGUGCUUAACACAUGCAAGUCGAGCGGAAAGGCCCUUCGGGGUACUCGAGCGGCGAACGGGUGCGUAACACGUGAGUAACCUGCCCCAGACUUUGGGAUAACCCUCGGAAACGGGGGCUAAUACCGGAUACGACACAGCUUCGCAUGGGGUCUGUGUGGAAAGUUUUUCGGUUUGGGAUGGGCUCGCGGCCUAUCGGCUUGUUGGUGGGGUGAUGGCCUACCAAGGCGACGACGGGUAGCCGGCCUGAGGGGGCGACCGGCCACACUGGGACUGAGACACGGCCCAGACUCCUACGGGAGGCAGCAGUGGGGAAUAUUGCACAAUGGGCGGAGGCCUGAUGCAGCGACGCCGCGUGGGGGAUGACGGCCUUCGGGUUGUAAACCUCUUUCAGCAGGGACGAGGCGUAAGUGACGGUACCUGCAGAAGAAGCGCCGGCCAACUACGU